rnacentral:rRNA from 1 species
UGCAAAGAACUUUGAAGAGAGAGUUCAAGAGGGCGUGAAACCGCUGAGAAGGAAGCGGAUAGAGUUGACGAAACACAAUGGCAUUCAUCUAAUUAGGCGUUUCAGUUGACUGUAUUGGUUGUACUAUCAUUUGUUUAAAUGAUGGUCAAUUAUAUGGUUUAUACUGAAUACUUGAUUGGUGCUUUUGCCAUUGGUAUGCGCUGAGAGGUUCGCUGUGAUGCGUUAAUGCUAAUUUAAAGAGGACUAUGCUUACAUAAGUGUAGAACCCUUUAAUGGUUGAAGCAUAUUCAUGGUGAAUUGCUGUUACGCAGUUAUAUCACUUGCUUAUAAGCGCAAUUAGUUAUUACGUAGCUGUUAGUUAGCUGUUGAGCGGUCGCAUGCGACUUGCUUAUAGUUAGCUAUAGUUCGUUGAUAACUUAUAGUUGCGUUUGGUGAUAUAUCUUGGUGUAAAAGUUGACCACCUAUCCGACCCGUCUUGAAACACGGACCAAGGAGUUUAGCAUAUACGCAAGUCAUUGGGUGGUAAACCUAAAGGCGUAAUGAAAGUAAAGAUUGCUUUUAAAUGCAAUUCGAUAUGGGAUCUACAUUUAAUGCGGCGUAAGUCAAUAGAUGUAGCGCACCAUAGUCCCGUCCCCGUUGCUUGCAAUAGGGCGGAGAUAGAGCGUAUACGCUGAGACCCGAAAGAUGGUGAACUAUGCCUGAGCARGAUGAAGCCAGAGGAAACUCUGGUGGAAGUCCGAAGCGAUUCUGACGUGCAAAUCGAUCGUCUGACUUGGGUAUAGG